CACCAUCAGUGACACUCAAGAAAGGUGUUGUCAACUGGCUCCACAAUUCUUGCCCCAGUUCCACUUUUGAGUUCCCAGGCCUUUUGUGAUUCCUCUGGGGAAAAUUACUGGAAGAACUUCCUAACAUAGUCCAUGGAGAAGGUCCUGGGGCUGGAGCGGCUGAGAAAGGGCUUACUCAG
rnacentral:lncRNA from 1 species